AACAACUUAUUGCACAAUUAUAGAUGUUACUUCCAAUACAAGUAUGUGUUUGAAAUGAAAAAUUGACCUAAAAUUAAGUCAGAAUGGAAAUGCUAGCAAGUCAAACCUGUCUAUUUACAACAUUGGAACCUACAAUCUGUGAAAAAGAGUUCCAGAAAGAAUCUUAUCACUGUUGACUAUGUACUAAUGGUAUCCGACUAGAUUCACAAUCAUAUAAAUGCAGGUCUAGAUGGUUUUCUUAGCCGGGUAAUAUUGUAAAAAGAAUGCUGAUAAAACAGAUGUUGCGUUUCAUCCUAGGAUUCCCACGCGACACUUCUCCAAACAUGAGCCAUUUACCAUAGAACUCACUUCUCCAGUAGUAGAAUGAGCUGAAGGCGCCACCAUUUACCAACACGACUCACUGGAAAGAUAUAAAGUACAAUAUUUCAACAGCUCAAUGACACAGGGUCUCUCCAUAGUUUACCCAACGUACAAAGCUAUCUGAAAGUUCCUCGGCAACUACACAACUCUGGGCAUCACUGUAGGAUGCCUCUGCUCCAGUGUUUGCUGUUUCUUGUGAAGUAACUGAAAUACCAACAUUCAUGCUACAGCCACCUUCACUGGAGAGUGGGGUUGUUUCCCCCACUAUGUCACUGACAACAUUCUCUGAUGAUAGUCCACCUAUUG
rnacentral:misc_RNA from 1 species